rnacentral:rRNA from 1 species
GCAGCAGCCGCGGUAACACGUAGGGUGCGAGCGUUAAUCGGAAUUACUGGGCGUAAAGCGUGCGCAGGCGGUUGUGUAAGACAGGUGUGAAAUCCCCGGGCUUAACCUGGGAACUGCGCUUGUGACUGCACAGCUAGAGUAUGGCAGAGGGGGGUGGAAUUCCACGUGUAGCAGUGAAAUGCGUAGAGAUGUGGAGGAACACCGAUGGCGAAGGCAGCCCCCUGGGCCAAUACUGACGCUCAUGCACGAAAGCGUGGGGAGCAAACAGGAUUAGAUACCCGCGUAGUCCCUGUCUCUUAUAC